AGAAUAAUAAGAAAAGACAUUGAUAUAGUGAAGAGUAAUGAGAUGCGUAGCAUAAGUGGACAACUUCCUUCGCCAAUAAGCCUACACCUUAUUAAUCGAUUUGUUAUUUUCUGGGCUCAGGCUUUCUGUUAUUUUCUUUUUGCUUCAAGGAAAAUCACUUAGUAAGCUUGAGACUUUUGCCAAAGAGUGUCAGGUGAGGUUUUUCCCUCAGAAAAUACAUCUGCCAAGUCGUAACGCAGCUGUACUGAGGUUUGCCUUGAAAAACGCAAGCUUCUAGUAGACCAGAAGGCAAAAGCUCGCUUAACAUUGACUUCUAGUACGAGUGAAGACUUUGGAAGAGCCGCGUAUCUUUUGGUCCAUAACGUCUCUGGUAAAAGUCUCUCAAAAAGGUGAUAUAGGGAUAAGCGGCUUGUGGCAGUCAAGCGUGCAUAGCGACUAUGCUUUAAAUCCCUCGACGUCAGCUAUACCGAUGUUCGUGAGACAAAAUUUGUAAAACAUUACAUUUUUCGUACGCUACCAAGGGGUGUAAACUGGACUCCAUUU
rnacentral:ncRNA from 1 species